rnacentral:rRNA from 1 species
ACGAACGCUGGCGGCGUGGAUAAGACAUGCAAGUCGAACGAGAGAAUUGCUAGCUUGCUAAUAAUUCUCUAGUGGCGCACGGGUGAGUAACACGUGAGUAACCUGCCCCCGAGAGCGGGAUAGCCCUGGGAAACUGGGAUUAAUACCGCAUAGUAUCGAAAGAUUAAAGCAGCAAUGCGCUUGGGGAUGGGCUCGCGGCCUAUUAGUUAGUUGGUGAGGUAACGGCUCACCAAGGCGAUGACGGGUAGCCGGUCUGAGAGGAUGUCCGGCCACACUGGAACUGAGACACGGUCCAGACACCUACGGGUGGCAGCAGUCGAGAAUCAUUCACAAUGGGGGAAACCCUGAUGGUGCGACGCCGCGUGGGGGAAUGAAGGUCUUCGGAUUGUAAACCCCUGUCAUGUGGGAGCAAAUUAAAAAGAUAGUACCACAAGAGGAAGAGACGGCUAACUCUGUGCCAGCAGCCGCGGUAAUACAGAGGUCUCAAGCGUUGUUCGGAAUCACUGGGCGUAAAGCGUGCGUAGGCUGUUUCGUAAGUCGUGUGUGAAAGGCGCGGGCUCAACCCGCGGACGGCACAUGAUACUGCGAGACUAGAGUAAUGGAGGGGGAACCGGAAUUCUCGGUGUAGCAGUGAAAUGCGUAGAUAUCGAGAGGAACACUCGUGGCGAAGGCGGGUUCCUGGACAUUAACUGACGCUGAGGCACGAAGGCCAGGGGAGCGAAAGGGAUUAGAUACCCCUGUAGUCCUGGCAGUAAACGGUGCACGCUUGGUGUGCGGGGAAUCGACCCCCUGCGUGCCGGAGCUAACGCGUUAAGCGUGCCGCCUGGGGAGUACGGUCGCAAGAUUAAAACUCAAAGAAAUUGACGGGGACCCGCACAAGCGGUGGAGUAUGUGGCUUAAUUCGAUGCAACGCGAAGAACCUUACCUGGGCUUGACAUGUAAUGAACAACAUGUGAAAGCAUGCGUCUCUUCGGAGGCGUUACACAGGUGCUGCAUGGCCGUCGUCAGCUCGUGUCGUGAGAUGUUUGGUUAAGUCCAGCAACGAGCGCAACCCCUGUUGCCAGUUACCAGCACGUGAAGGUGGGGACUCUGGCGAGACUGCCCAGAUCAACUGGGAGGAAGGUGGGGACGACGUCAGGUCAGUAUGGCCCUUAUGCCCAGGGCUGCACACGUACUACAAUGCCCAGUACAGAGGGGGCCGAAGCCGCGAGGCGGAGGAAAUCCUGAAAACUGGGCCCAGUUCGGACUGUAGGCUGCAACCCGCCUACACGAAGCCGGAAUCGCUAGUAAUGGCGCAUCAGCUACGGCGCCGUGAAUACGUUCCCGGGUCUUGUACACACCGCCCGUCACAUCAUGGAAGCCGGUCGCACCCGAAGUAUCUGAAGCCAACCGCAAGGAGGCAGGGUCCUAAGGUGAGACUGGUAACUGGGAUG